GAUGAACGCUGGCGGCGUGCUUAACACAUGCAAGUCGAACGAUGAUCCGGUGCUUGCACCGGGGAUUAGUGGCGAACGGGUGAGUAACACGUGAGUAACCUGCCCUUAACUCUGGGAUAAGCCUGGGAAACUGGGUCUAAUACCGGAUAUGACUCCUCAUCGCAUGGUGGGGGGUGGAAAGCUUUUGUGGUUUUGGAUGGACUCGCGGCCUAUCAGCUUGUUGGUGAGGUAAUGGCUCACCAAGGCGACGACGGGUAGCCGGCCUGAGAGGGUGACCGGCCACACUGGGACUGAGACACGGCCCAGACUCCGACGGGAGGCAGCAGUGGGGAAUAUUGCACAAUGGGCGGAAGCCUGAUGCAGCGACGCCGCGUGAGGGAUGACGGCCUUCGGGUUGUAAACCUCUUUCAGUAGGGAAGAAGCGAAAGUGACGGUACCUGCAGAAGAAGCGCCGGCUAACUACGUGCCAGCAGCCGCGGUAAGAC
rnacentral:rRNA from 1 species